rnacentral:rRNA from 1 species
UACGUAGGGGGCGAGCGUUGUCCGGAAUUAUUGGGCGUAAAGGGCUCGUAGGCGGUUUGUCGCGUCGGGAGUGAAAACCUUGGGCUUAACUCAGGGCUUGCUUUCGAUACGGGCAGACUAGAGGUAUGCAGGGGAGAACGGAAUUCCUGGUGUAGCGGUGAAAUGCGCAGAUAUCAGGAGGAACACCGGUGGCGAAGGCGGUUCUCUGGGCAUGUCCUGACGCUGAGGAGCGAAAGUGUGGGGAGCGAACAGG